UACGUAGGGGGCUAGCGUUGUCCGGAAUCAUUGGGCGUAAAGAGCGUGUAGGCGGCUCGGUAAGUCCGCUGUGAAAGCCCAGGGCUCAACCCUGGAAUGCCAGUGGAAACUGUCGAGCUAGAGUCCGGAAGAGGCGAGUGGAAUUCCUGGUGUAGCGGUGAAAUGCGCAGAUAUCAGGAGGAACACCUGUGGUGUAGACAGCUUACUGGACCACUUCUGACGCUGAGACACGAAAGCGUGGGUAGCAAACAGG
rnacentral:rRNA from 1 species